UUGUCUACAAUGAUGUUCGACUUACUGAGCACUGGCACACCGCAAUAUCUAUUUGGCAAAUUGGCGUGGACUAAGGUGCAUGGAGGGUACCCCAGGCGUGCUUGUACUAGUGUUUUCGAGACGCCGGCGCACAGAACUGCUGCCUUUCGUGGAUCGUUCAGGUUUGCGGCCUCCCGGUGCU